AUUUGAUUAGUUUACAUAAAAUUCUAAACUGUGAUUUUAGAGAAAGAAAAAUAAUUCUAUCAAAUA
rnacentral:tRNA from 1 species